GAUGAACGCUGGCGGCGUGCCUAAUACAUGCAAGUCGAGCGAACGGGCGAGAAGCUUGCUUCUCUGAUGUUAGCGGCGGACGGGUGAGUAACACGUGGAUAACCUACCUAUAAGACUGGGAUAACUUCGGGAAACCGUAGCUAAUACCGGAUAUUAUUUUGAACCGCAUGGUUCAAAAGUGAAAGACGGUCUUGCUGUCACUUAUAGAUGGAUCCGCGCUGCAUUAGCUAGUUGGUAAGGUAACGGCUUACCAAGGCAACGAUGCAUAGCCGACCUGAGAGGGUGAUCGGCCACACUGGAACUGAGACACGGUCCAGACUCCUACGGGAGGCAGCAGUAGGGAAUCUUCCGCAAUGGGCGAAAGCCUGACGGAGCAACGCCGCGUGAGUGAUGAAGGUCUUCGGAUCGUAAAACUCUGUUAUUAGGGAAGAACAUAUGUGUAAGUAACUGUGCACAUCUUGACGGUACCUAAUCAGAAAGCCACGGCUAACUACGUG
rnacentral:rRNA from 1 species